AGAGUUUGAUCCUGGCUCAGAACGAACGCUGGCGGCAGGCUUAACACAUGCAAGUCGAUCGCUCUUUUCGGAGAGAGAGGCGCACGGGUGAGUAACACGUGGGAAUAUGCCUUGGAGUACGGAAUAACUGAGGGAAACUUCAGCUAAUACCGUAUACGCCCUACGGGGGAAAGAUUUAUCGCUCCAAGAUUAGCCCGCGUCCGAUUAGCUAGUUGGUAGGGUAAUGGCCUACCAAAGCGACGAUCGGUAGCCGGACUGAGAGGUUGAACGGCCACAUUGGGACUGAGACACGGCCCAGACUCCUACGGGAGGCAGCAGUGGGGGAUAUUGCACAAUGGAGGAAACUCUGAUGCAGCAACGCCGCGUGAGGGAAGAAGGUCUUCGGAUUGAAACCUUUGUCCUUGGUGACGAAACAAAUGACGGUAGCCAAGGAGGAAGCUCCGGCUAACUACGUGCCAGCAGCCGCGGUAAUACGUAGGGAGCAAGCGUUGUCCGGAUUUACUGGGUGUAAAGGGUGCGUAGGCGGCUCUGCAAGUCAGGCGUGAAAACUAUGGGCUUAACCCAUAGACUGCGUUUGAAACUGUGGGGCUUGAGUGAAGUAGAGGUAGGCGGAAUUCCCGGUGUAGCGGUGAAAUGCGUAGAGAUCGGGAGGAACACCAGUGGCGAAGGCGGCCUACUGGGCUUUAACUGACGCUGAAGCACGAAAGCAUGGGUAGCAAACAGGAUUAGAUACCCUGGUAGUCCAUGCCGUAAACGAUGAUUACUAGGUGUGGGUGGUCUGACCCCAUCCGUGCCGGAGUUAACACAAUAAGUAAUCCACCUGGGGAGUACGGCCGCAAGGUUGAAACUCAAAGGAAUUGACGG
rnacentral:rRNA from 1 species